rnacentral:rRNA from 1 species
AUGGCGGCCGGUCUCCAGGUGUUCGGGCAGCCGGCGUCGACUGACGUGGCCCGGGUGCUCACCUGCCUCUUCGAGAAGAACCUUGAGUUCGAGCUCGUCCGCAUCGACACCUUCAAGAGGGAGCACAAGCUGCCCGAGUUCAUCAAGCUAAGGGAUCCUACCGGGCAGGUGACCUUCAAGCAUGGUGACAAGACCCUUGUUGAUUCAAGGGCGAUAUGCCGGUACCUGUGCACCCAGUUCCCGGAGGACGGCAACCGCGGGAUCUACGGCACGGGGUCGCUGGAGCGCGCGUCCAUCGAGCAGUGGCUGCAGGCGGAGGCCCAGAGCUUCGACGCGCCGAGCUCGGAGCUCGUCUUCCACCUGGCCUUCGCGCCGCAGCUCAACAUGCUCCCCGACGAGGCCCGCAUCGCGGAGAACGAGCGGAAGCUGCAGCAGAUGAUCGGAGUCUACGACGAGAUCCUCGCCAAGAACCAGUACCUCGCCGGCGACGAGUUCACGCUCGCCGACCUCUCCCACCUGCCGGCCUCCCACUACAUCGCCGGCUCCCAGCGGGGCCGGAAGCUCUUCACCUCCAAGAGGCACGUGGCCAGGUGGUACGACGCCAUCUCCAGCCGCCCCUCGUGGCAGCAGGUGGUCAAGAUGCAGCACGAGCACCCCGGCACCUUCGAGUGA